AAUGAACGCUGGCGGCGUGCCUAACACAUGCAAGUCGAGCGGUAAGGCCCCUUCGGGGGUACACGAGCGGCGAACGGGUGAGUAACGCGUGGGUAACCUACCUGGAAGUGGGGGAUAGCCUCGGGAAACCGAGGGUAAUACCGCAUAUGCUCCAGAUCAUGUUGGUGAACUGGUGGAAAGGCGGGGAUCCUUCGGGACCUGUCGCUUCCGGAUGGGCCCGCGUCCGAUUAGCUUGUUGGUGAGGUAAUGGCUCACCAAGGCAUCGAUCGGUAGCCGGCCUGAGAGGGUGAUCGGCCACAUUGGGACUGAGACACGGCCCAGACUCCUACGGGAGGCAGCAGUGGGGAAUUUUGGACAAUGGGGGCAACCCUGAUCCAGCGACGCCGCGUGGAGGAUGACGGCCUUCGGGUUGUAAACUCCUGUCAGGUGGGAAGAAGGCUCUGUCGGAUAAUACCUGGCAGAGAUUGACGGUACCACCAAAGGAAGCCCCGGCUAACUCCGUG
rnacentral:rRNA from 1 species